rnacentral:tRNA from 1 species
GCCCUUGUAGUACAACUAGUAUACUGGUCUUGUAAACCAGAGAUGGAAACCUACCUCUCCCCAGGGCA